ACCAACACAAUUCUUCUGAAUAACACUACCCACAAAGAAACCUGCUACUCGAUUACAUCCUCACAGAAAACUGAAUGCAAUGGGAAUUAUCUCUGAUGUUUUCCUCACCAUGACUCCUUCACAGCUGGAACUGUGCCUCCUGAAUCUUCCUGUUGUGAAUGUAUUCCCAAGCGUGAUGUAUGGGACCAAACAGUUACGUGGCCAGAUCCCAGAUGGAAAUCCACAUAAUCUUUGUUAAAGGAACAACUGAAAGACCAGUUGGUACUUAUCUUCAUUGUCUCAGGGUGGUUCCUUGUGAGGAAAACCUUACAGGACAGAGGAGCAAAUAUCAUUACGACUUAUUCUAAGAGCGAAGUCUAAGACAACCAGAAGAAAAGAAGGUGUGGAGGAUGCAGUCUGGCACAACCAUCUCCUGUUCUUAGCUACUCUUUCCAGUCUGCUGCUUCCGUUGAUGCUGCUGCUGCUCCAGUGGUUGCCAUCAGUACCUCUAGAGGUAUCAGCUCUCCAGGGACCUCAGCACGCUCCAGGGAGCAAAUGUUAAUUACAAACUUCUGUCAUGCACUUUUUAAAUUGGCUAGUUAAUUUAUUCAUAUACUAGACAUGAUCUUAUGGUCUAUUCUUUACACAUCCAGUUCCUAUUUUACAUCUUUAAGUUCUGCAACUUGAGCAAAUGCUGCGUAUCCUUACAACAUAAUAUUGUUCUACUUUGUGAAGACAACGUUCAUUAAACAUUUGAUGGACUACA